rnacentral:siRNA from 1 species
UCUACCGGAGCUGACCAGAUCCUU